UUGUUUUUGGGUUUCGAUAUACUUAGCACAAAUUUAAUGGUUUAUGGGGUGUACGGUGAUGUGUAAGGUUUCGAUUGACCUGGCAUAUAUUCCGAAGCAAAUGCAGGAUGACUUGGAAAGACGCGAGGGAUCCACUAUCUGAGAUAGGGGAACCGAGGAAAUAGAUAUUUGCAAUUUAGAUCAUCACCCGUGAUUCAUCAAGAUCAGUAGAAUCCAACUAUUCCGGCCGCCGGAAGUACGCCGCAUAAAACCGAAUAAUAUCCCACGGCAAGGGGCUUCACCAUGGGCUCAUCUACUCGACUCUUAUAAAUUCACAGUGAAGAAUAGCGACGAUGGAAUCAUCUUCAAUGAUUAAGAGUUGUGUAUCCUGCGCUGGAGAAGCUUGCACUUGGACCCCUUAUAAUCAUGAGUUUCAUUAAUUAGAAUUUUACACUUUUGAGAUGUUCAUAUACAGAAUUGAAGACUGGAAUGAAUAGUAUAGUAUAGGCCACCGGAAUGAACCACCUGCAGGCACCAGAACGUAGUCAAAUCUUAAAAGUUCAAGGACAGGAAACAACCUAUCGGUCCGUGUUUUAAGGGAGAAUUGGAACUUGUGAAAGAGACUAAUGUUUGGUGUUGAGGUUCGUAGAAUACCAUUCUUGAUACAUGGACUAGAAUUGCCAUUAUCACACUUUUUAAAGACGUGAAGGAGAAAAACAUAACUCCUCAGAUAUGGUGAUUACCAUUGAUGAUUGGUACACCCAAAAUCAUUCGGUUAGUAUUUGAUCUUAUUUUUAAUACAUAUUAGUAGGAAACUAGAAAUCUAAUAUUUGUUUCUAUGUCUUUUGUGUGACAAGGCAUUAAGAGCUUCUCUUGAUACUGAAAAAUAGCUGAGUAUGCUAGAUUGAGAAUGGCAAGGGAGUUAAUUUUGAUCUAGGUUGAAUGCCAUUGGUUUUUGCCUAUAAAUUUUUUUCCAUUGUUCCAGAUGGUAAUAACCAUGCAACCAUACUAUACUUGAUGUUGAUCCAGGUUAAAUGCCAAUGGUUUUGCUUCAUGAUUUUAUUUUUAUGAAAGAUGGGCGGGUCAGUAGCGGGUCAAAAAGAUUUUUGGUUGAAACAAGGCAUUUUUAAGUACAAGUAAGGAUGGUUGACCCGAAAAUGGCAUACACCUUUUUGUCCAUUUUUAAUUUUCUUUAUACAUAAUAAU
rnacentral:lncRNA from 1 species